rnacentral:rRNA from 1 species
UACAGCUACUAUACUACCCUGAAUGCACCUGACCUCAGCUAAUUUAGGAAGCUAAGGAGGAUCAGGCCUGCUCAGUACUUGGGUGGGAGACCACUAAGAGGUCCCAUGUAUCUCCAG